rnacentral:lncRNA from 1 species
UGUCAAUGCGCGGUAUCUUCACACAGACACACUAGGGCUGAGCUCAUAUUGGGGGUUUUAAUAAGCCCGGCGACCACCAUGGAAGUCAGCCUUUUCUCUGCCUGAACAGUGAGCUGCAUCUGAACGCUUCCCCUUCUGCACCACUGACCCUGAUGAAAGCAAUGUUCACUCCCUGCCAGCGCUGCAAUUUCCCCCAUACAACACACAGACCUACAAGGUGUGACUUUCAGAGGGGUGUUGGUUGCGGCGUGUGAAUCUGAAGGGCGAGAGGGUGGAUCACGAGGGGCCUGGAUCAUCAGGACACACACACACUCCCUCUGUGACAUCCAAGAGGGUCCGCAUCGCCAAGAACUCCAACCAGUCGAUGGCCCAGCAUGCUCUGCUCUCCACACCCUCGCAGCACGCCUGAAAUCACAGCCCUCCUGCAUCGCCUCAAACUGACAAAUGACGUAAUGUGCAGAAUCAAGCACCGGCCUUCGGAUGAAAAGAAACAUGUCCGCCACUGUCCCCAUCGGAAUGGAGAGGAGGUAUUGGACAUGUGCGUGAGACGCUAGGUAUUUUUGACCUGACAUCUCCUUCUGAAAGCGGUACACACACACACACACACUAAUUAAAUACCUCUUUUUAGUUACUUAGUAGAGUGCUUGCUUUGUACAGGACUUUCCCAUUAACUUCCAUUCAUGAAG